rnacentral:rRNA from 1 species
AGGACGAACGCCGGCGGCGCGCUUAACACAUGCAAGUCGAGCGAGAACCGGGGCUUCGGCCCCGGGGACAGCGGCGAACGGGUGAGUAACACGUGGGUAAUCUGCCCUCGGCACCGGGAUAGCCCGGGGAAACUCGGAUUAAUACCGGAUAGCCCGCCCGCCUUUCGAGGCGGUCGGAAAAGGUAGCUUAGGCCUCUGGCCGAGGAUGAGCCCGCGGCGGAUUAGCUUGUUGGUGAGGUAAUGGCUCACCAAGGCGACGAUCCGUAGCUGGUCUGAGAGGACGAUCAGCCACACUGGGACUGAGACACGGCCCAGACUCCUACGGGAGGCAGCAGUGGGGAAUCUUGCGCAAUGGGCGAAAGCCUGACGCAGCGACGCCGCGUGCGGAAGAAGGCCUUGGGUUGUAACCGCUUUCAGGAGGACGAAGCUACUCGGUGAAUAGCCCAGAGGUGACGGUACCUCCGAGAAGAAGCCCCGGACUAACUACGUGCCAGCAGCGC